UAGGGGAGCCGCAGGGAAACCGAGUCUUAACUGGGCGUUAAGUUGCAGGGUAUAGACCCGAAACCCGGUGAUCUAGCCAUGGGCAGGUUGAAGGUUGGGUAACACUAACUGGAGGACCGAACCGACUAAUGUUGAAAAAUUAGCGGAUGACUUGUGGCUGGGGGUGAAAGGCCAAUCAAACCGGGAGAUAGCUGGUUCUCCCCGAAAGCUAUUUAGGUAGCGCCUCGUGA
rnacentral:rRNA from 1 species